AGGGUGCAUGGAUGCCACUUCUUCCACCAGCGACCCUCCCCUCGGUGCCCAGCCUGUGGAACACUUCGAAUCUUUGGAGUCGCCAUUGUCUUCCUGCAGAUGACUGAUGAGCUGAUCUUCCACCAGUGGUAGCGGGAGGUGGUGCUGGAGCAGUGCAUCGAUCAGCAGAUCAUCCUGCCAUUUGGGCAGGGAGAAGCUGGGACAGCCCUAAUGCAGUAACAUCACCAUGUGGCAAAUCCAGUAGAUUGACACAAUAUUGGUGCUUGGGUGACGGGACAAAGUAUGUGUACCAGUCCUGGUACAAGAUAUUCGUGCUUCUCAUUGAUGUUAUGUGUGAUCAGCUAAAAUUUGUGCUUCUCGUCCAAUCUAUGUUGAUGUGCGCUUGUGCACUUGUUGGGCCUUGAACCUUGCUGUGUAGAGGAGUCAAUUGAUGAUGUAUUGUAUUUCAUGUGAUGUGUUGCU